GUGGCCGCGCAGACCGCCGCCGCGGCCGUACUAGUCACCGUCGAGAUAUUGGUCUGGUAUUUUAUUGCAAAAUUUUUUGAGUAUAACCCACCGUCAUCUACCGAAGAACGAGGCAAAGAAAAUCUUAUGAAAACUCUCCCCCAAUAAACUUAUUGUAUUUUCAGUCUAGGUACAUUAUAGAAGUUACUUAUUAGUACAUAACUUUAUCAAAACUUGGUUUCUUGUGUAAUUUUGAAAUGAAAGUCAGUAUAAUAAAAUUUAGCAACUUAUUUA